GCCGGGAAUGGUGGUGCAUGCCUGUAAUCCCAGUGACUUUGGAGGCUGAGUCAAGAGAAUUGCAAGUUUGAGGCCAGCCUUAGUAAAUUAGUGAGGCUCUA
rnacentral:sRNA from 1 species